CGACGUGAGGAACCUGCCUCAAAGAGGGGGACAACAGUUGGAAGCGACUGCUAAUACCGCAUAAGCCCACAGCUCGGCAUCGAGCAGAGGGAAAAGGAGUGAUCCGCUUUGAGAUGGCCUCGCGUCCGAUUAGCUAGUUGGUGAGGUAAUGGCCCACCAAGGCGACGAUCGGUAGCCGGACUGAGAGGUUGAACGGCCACAUUGGGACUGAGACACGGCCCAG
rnacentral:rRNA from 1 species